rnacentral:lncRNA from 10 species
GUGGGGUCAUGGGGAGAAGGAAAUGAAAUUGGGAAGUGAAAUCAGCACAUGAGGUGAGAGAUGAAGGUUCAGUUGUCUCCCUGAGAGGUGGAGAGCAGAUGUGGCACUUGAUAGAAACCCCGGAGGGCUGAGGCUGUCAUUUCUCCAAAGGAAGGCAUGGAGGCAGUGCGAAUGGGCCUCAGAGACCGCAGACUACAGAUGACUAGCGGGAUAUUGAUGAAGCUUAAGGUCUCAUGCCCAGGAUGCUUUCUUAUAGGCCAAAUGGUAUCACUCCAUUCUACUGGUGUCAGCUGCUUGAAAUAGUGUAGACACAGAGAAUUCUGGGACCCGUGUCGCUCAGAAACAAUGUCAAAGUCCUGGCUGAAGGUAUCUACAUUACCCACGAAUUGCUGUAUAUGAGUGGAAUGUACAAGCAUGGAUGCAACAGCAAGAGAACUAAAUUUGUUUUGUGCUUCAAAGUACACAGUUUAUAAAGACUUCUAUAUUCUAUUAUCUAAAUCCUAAAACAGUCCUUAAAGUCAGCAGGGCAGGCAUUGCUAUCAACACUUUGGAGAUUUGCAGAUAGGUAAACUGAGUCUCAAAAGCGACUUGUUCAGAACCAUAUACUAGUAAGUUGCUGAGCCCUGCUAAACCCAGGGACUUUAUUCACAUUUUUUUGUUUGUUUGAGACAGAGUCUUGCUCUGUUGCCCAGGCUGGAGUGCAGUGGCGUGAUCUUGGCUCACUGCAACCUCCACUUCCCAGGUACAAGUGAUUCUCCUGCCUCAGCCUCCCGAGUAGCUGGAAUUAUAGGCACAUGCCACCAUGCCCGGCUAAUUUUUGUAUUUUUAGUAGAGACAGUGUUUCACCAUGUUGGCCAGGCUGGUCUCGAACUCCUGACUUCAGGUGAUCUGCCCGCCUCAGUCUCCCAAAGUGUUGGGAUUACAGGCAUUAGCCACCACGCCCGGCUGACACUGCUUUGUCGAUGGCAUCGACAAGAGGAAAAGUCAAGUGCCAGUAGGAGCUUGGGGACAUGGAGAAAGGUACUGGACACAAGAUAAUCAGGAGAUGCCACUUGAUUACCACAGUUGCAAUUUCUUGAGCAAGUUUAAACAUCAUAAGGAUGCAGAGAACUUUUUGAGAACAUUUCUCAAGCCGUGUUGCAUAAGCUGUGCUCCUGGGGCCAAUACGGGUUGAUCCACACACAUGGGGAAUGCUUAACCCUAAGCAGGAGAAAGCAAUCGGAUUUUGCCCAGGUAGGUGACCAAAGGUGAAUAAAGCAGUCCACUGGUGGCCUUGAACAAUCAGAGAUGUGAGACUUGUCACAUGAUGACCCUCCUUUAGCACAGUCAAACCCCUGCUGAUCACAAGCCUCCUCCAGAAUCCAAAAUUACCCAAUGGGAACCAUAUACCAUCUCCUGUUGCUUUUCCUGCUUCUCUGGACCAUACUGUUAGCUUCCUGCUCAUCAACCCUAUCCUAAGGUCCAGUUAUGCAAGGCA